rnacentral:lncRNA from 1 species
GCUUGAAUAUGUUCUCUUCUUUAAUGUGUUAAUUGUACUAUAUAUAACAUUAUUUUAAAAUUUCAAAAAGUUUACGUCACAUACAAAAAACCAUCAAUAAAAGAUAUAAUUACAACAAGAAAAAUAAAAAAUUAUAAACAUAUAAAUUUAAAUUAAGAAAAACUAACAUUGGAAAAACAAGAAAUUAAUAUAAAAGAAAAAAAACCGACAAAUAAUAUUAUAUAUAAUAUAAAUUUAUAAGACACAAUCCGCGCGAAGCGCGGAAAAAAUCUCUAGUAUCAAUAAUAGGGAAACAAAUAUAUUACCAG